AGAGUGAACGCUGGCGGUAGGCCUAACACAUGCAAGUCGAACGGCAGCACGGUAAGAGCUUGCUCUUAUGGGUGGCGAGUGGCGGACGGGUGAGGAAUACAUCGGAAUCUACCUUUUGGUGGGGGAUAACGUAGGGAAACUUACGCUAAUACCGCAUACGCCCUUCGGGGGAAAGCCGGGGACCAGCAAUGGCCUGGUGCUGAUAGAUGAGCCGAUGUCGGAUUAGCUAGUUGGUGAGGUAAUGGCUCACCAAGGCGACGAUCCGUAGCUGGUCUGAGAGGAUGAUCAGCCACACUUGGAACUGAGACACGGUCCAGACUCCGUA
rnacentral:rRNA from 1 species